CAAAGUCUUUUCGUUGUUAAUUAAAGUGUUAAUGAUUCAGAGUGGAAGGUUAAAUCGAUUUACAUCCACAGCAAUAUAAGUAAGUCGAGCUCUUAGAGUCGCUUACGCGUACCGUGACAGCAUAUUUCCAUAAAGGAUUACUUGCAUUUUUAAAAGCAUUAUUGGAUUUCCGAAAGAAAAAUUAACCUAAAUCUGUUGAAAGUCGUGUACCAGUGUCAAGUCACGGAGGUGCUCCGCCACAUGGCGGCUAACCUCAAA